rnacentral:rRNA from 1 species
GACAGAGGUGCCGAGCGUUUGGCGGAAUCACUGGGCUUAAAGCGUGUGUAGGCGGAUCGUUAAGUGCCUUGUGAAAUCCCACGGCUCAACCGUGGAACUGCUUGGCAUACUGGCGGUCUUGAGCCACUUAGGGGCUACCGGAACAAAUGGUGGAGCGGUGAAAUGCGUAGAUAUCAUUUGGAACGCCAAUGGUGAAAACAGGUAGCUGGGAGUGUGCUGACGCUGAGACACGAAAGCCAGGGGAGCGAACGGG